UACAGGGGGUGCAAACGUUGCUCGGAAUCAUUGGGCGUAAAGCGCACGUAGGCGGUCUGUUAUGUCGGAUGUGAAAGCCCUUGGCUCAACUGAGGAAGUGCAUCCGAAACUGGCAGGCUAGAGUACGAAAGAGGAUCGCGGAAUUCCCGGUGUAGAGGUGAAAUUCGUAGAUAUCUGGAGGAACACCGGUGGCGAAGGCGGCAUCCUGGACCGACACUGACGCUGAGGAGCGAAAGCCAGGGGAGCAAACGGG
rnacentral:rRNA from 1 species